rnacentral:lncRNA from 1 species
CCCCCCCCCCCCCCCGCGGGCCCCCGCCUCCCGACGCUGCCCUGCGCCUGCGCGCUCGGGCUGAGGGCUGAGGCCGGGCCCACGGCCGCACCGGCGAGCAGGAGGCGCCUCCCCGAGUCCUCGGCGCGCAGGCCGCGGAGUCCACGACCCAGUCACGGAAGAAAGAAGUCGAGAGGCGCGUAUUUUUAGGUGAAUUUUCAGAAUUUUCUGGUGCUUGGAAGAUAGAUUUGAAAUUCCCUGAAUUUCAGAUCAAGGGAAUGAUGUGACCACUAGCUUCGUAAACAGUGAACACAUAACUGGGAGCUGAUGACCCGAGGAUGGCCAAAGAACUACUUUCUUUCUUGGAACUAACUAACCCCUCUAAGGGUGAGUUUUAAUGAAAACAAUUUUGACUUCUGCAGAUAGACCUCAACUUUGUAAGUAUACAAGAGGAUUUAGAACCUGAAAUGUUACUUUAAUGAAAUCAGUCCUAUAACCUAGUGAGCAGCCCUAUUUUAAAUAAUAACAACGAGACAUAGCCCACUUCAUUCCUCGACUAGCAACAUCUGGUAAACCCACUUAUCA